rnacentral:rRNA from 1 species
ACUGCGAAUGGCUCAUUAUAUAAGUUAUCGUUUAUUUGAUAGUACCUUACUACUUGGAUAACCGUGGUAAUUCUAGAGCUAAUACAUGCUGAAAACCCCAACUUCGGAAGGGAUGUAUUUAUUAGAUUAAAAACCAAUGCCCUCUGGGCUCCUUGGUGAUUCAUAAUAACUUUUCGAAUCGCACGGCCUUGCGCCGGCGAUGGUUCAUUCAAAUUUCUUCCCUAUCAACUUUCGAUGUUUGGGUAUUGGCCAAACAUGGUUGCAACGGGUAACGGAGGGUUAGGGCUCGACCCCGGAGAAGGAGCCUGAGAAACGGCUACUACAUCCAAGGAAGGCAGCAGGCGCGCAAAUUACCCAAUCCCGAUUCGGGGAGGUAGUGACAAUAAAUACUGAUACAGGGCUCUUUUGGGUCUUGUAAUUGGAAUGAGUACAAUUUAAAUCUCUUAACGAGGAACAAUUGGAGGGCAAGUCUGGUGCCAGCAGCCGCGGUAAUUCCAGCUCCAAUAGCGUAUAUUAAAGUUGUUGUGGUUAAAAAGCUCGUAGUUGAACCUUGGGCCUGGCUGGCCGGUCCGCCUCACCGCGUGUACUGGUCCGGCCGGGCCUUUCCCUCUGUGGAACCACAUGCCCUUCACUGGGUGUGGCGGGGAAACAGGACUUUUACUUUGAAAAAAUUAGAGUGCUCCAGGCAGGCCUAUGCUCGAAUACAUUAGCAUGGAAUAAUAAAAUAGGACGCGUGGUUCUAUUUUGUUGGUUUCUAGGACCGCCGUAAUGAUUAAUAGGGACAGUCGGGGGCAUCAGUAUUCAAUUGUCAGAGGUGAAAUUCUUGGAUUUAUUGAAGACUAACUACUGCGAAAGCAUUUGCCAAGGAUGUUUUCAUUAAUCAGGAACGAAAGUUAGGGGAUCGAAGACGAUCAGAUACCGUCGUAGUCUUAACCAUAAACUAUGCCGACUAGGGAUCGGACGAUGUUAUUUUUUGACGCGUUCGGCACC